rnacentral:rRNA from 1 species
AGCGAACGCUGGCGGCAGGCUUAACACAUGCAAGUCGAGCGGGCAUCCUUGUGGUGUCAGCGGCAGACGGGUGAGUAACGCGUGGGAACGUGCCCUUCGGUUCGGAAUAACUCAGGGAAACUUGAGCUAAUACCGGAUACGUGCGAGAGCAGAAAGGUUUAUCUGCCGAAGGAUCGGCCCGCGUCUGAUUAGCUAGUUGGUGAGGUUACGGCUCACCAAGGCGACGAUCAGUAGCUGGUCUGAGAGGAUGAUCAGCCACACUGGGACUGAGACACGGCCCAGACUCCUACGGGAGGCAGCAGUGGGGAAUAUUGGACAAUGGGGGCAAUCCUGAUCCAGCCAUGCCGCGUGAGUGAUGACGGCCUUAGGGUUGUAAAGCUCUUUUCUCCGGGACGAUAAUGACGGUACCGGAGGAAUAAGCCCCGGCUAACUUCGUG